UUCAAACGAGGGAUUUCCAAACGCACGGCUGUUCCUCUUUCGAACGGGCGAUCUACCUUGCCAGAGCUCUUCCCUCAUUCGAACGACGCAAUCUUCCUCGCCAGAGCUCUGAAUCCUUGAAGAUUCAUCUCAAAUAGGAAUAUAAUCCUAUUUGUUAGAAGUCUACUUCUCUUGCUACAGAUAAGAACCUGCCAAAUCAGGUUGUAUACAAUGGACUCCAGGGAGUGGAUUACUCUACAUUACUUGGUGAAAUGCAUGGAAUUGACCGUGAAGUGAAUGGAAUUGACCGUGAAAUGCAUGGAAUUGACUGUGAAGUGAAGGGAAUUGACCGUGAAAUGAAUGAAAUUGACCGCAAACUGAUUGAAAUUGACCGCGAAGUGAAUGAAAUGGAUUUUCAACCAUCGACCUGAUGGAAUCUUCGAAAAUAACCAGGUUGGUUGGCUAAAGUAGCUUCUCCUACCUCAAAAUCAUAUAUGGUACGUCAAGUAACUCAUUUUGGUUUAGAAGAUAUGCUUGU